rnacentral:sRNA from 1 species
GAUCUCAUCCCCCUUUCCUAAGGCACUGCAGGUGCCUCCCCUCUAGGCCCCGCUCUCAAGGGUCCCCCCAGGCCUGCCUUCGGGUGGGGUGUCCCUUGAUGCCAUCAGCACCAGACAAAGCCCUGAACAGGCCCAAGAAACGCUGUCUGAGGUUCCCACCCUGGGGAGGGAGAGGUCGGGGCUUCAGCAGCGCUGAGACCCCCAUCUGUGCCUCCAGGAGACCCGGCUGAAUUGUAUCCGCAUUGCCAGGAAAGCUGCCUGCAAGGAAAGCAAGCGGCCCCUGGAGGUGUCCCAGAGAUCGGAGGAGAUGGGGCUUAUCCUGGGCAUCUGUGCAGGGGGGCUUGCUGUCCUCAUCCUUCUUCUGGGUGCCAUCAUUGUCAUCAUCCGCAAAGGGAAGCCGGUGAACAUGACCAAGGCCACCGUCAACUACCGCCAGGAGAAGACACACAUGAUGAGCGCCGUGGACCGCAGCUUCACAGACCAGAGCACCCUGCAGGAGGACGAGCGGCUGGGCCUGUCCUUCAUGGACACCCAUGGCUAUAGCACCCGGGGAGACCAGCGCAGCGGUGGGGUCACUGAGGCCAGCAGCCUCCUGGGGGGCUCCCCGAGGCGUCCCUGUGGCCGGAAGGGCUCCCCAUACCACACGGGGCAGCUGCAUCCUGCGGUGCGUGUCGCAGACCUUCUGCAGCACAUCAACCAGAUGAAGACGGCGGAGGGUUACGGCUUCAAGCAGGAGU